ACCCGGCUGGUUCAGUGUAGAGCAUGUGACUGUUGAUCUCAGGAUGUGAGUUUGAACCCCAUGUUGGGUG
rnacentral:tRNA from 1 species